CUUUUGCGCCCAAUCUCUCUCAGUGCCCCUGUGCCUUCAAUAGCCAUGACUUAAUCAUUCACCCUUCACAACCCUCAUUGUCCGAAAUCCAAAUAACUUCUUUAUCUUUCUAGCUUUCAAAGCAAAUCUAAAAAUGAGCCUUAAUUCUAAUUUGCAAGCUGUCUUACAUUGCCUUGCAGGCUUUACUUUGGUUUUGAGUUCGAUAUAACAGCAAAAUAUAAUUAGUUUCCUAUGUUGCAAUUCAUGAACAGAUUAUAAAUAAAAUCACAUCAUAUUUAUUUACUUGAGUAUAACACAUCACCUUUACGGAUCCAAGCAUAUCAUUCUCAGAAUCCAUUUCAGUAACAUCAGCUAUCCCAGACUGCAGGUUUGAACGGUCAAGCAAUUUUGCAAUUGCGUUUUCAUCCCAGACAAUCUUGUUG
rnacentral:misc_RNA from 1 species